rnacentral:rRNA from 1 species
CGGGACGGGUGAGUAACGCGUGAGUAACCUGCCUUACACAAGGGGAUAGCCGUUGGAAACGACGAAUAAUACCCUAUGAAACUAAUCACUUCGCAUGAAGCGAUAGUCAAAGUGUUAGCGGUUGUAAGAUGGACUUGCGUCUGAUUAGCUAGUUGGUGAGAAAAAAGCCCACCAAGGCAACGAUCAGUAGCCGGCUUGAGAGAGUGUACGGCCACAUUGGGACUGAGACACGGCCCAG